UAAUGGCAGGAGAGGACUAAGCCCUAUGAUGAAAACCAAUGCCCAGGUCGGGAGACCUUUUAUUUCAGGUUAUUAAUGGAACGACAAUCAAUGUCCUGAGUGUCAUACACGGCUUCUGCACAUGUCAUUGGAUCCUUUUGAAUGGUGCAGAGUCCACUAGACGUCUCGGGUAUGCCGUAUCCAUUGUUACAAACAAUUACCAAAUUGAUGAAAUAUGUAUUUCAUACUAAAUGUAUCAAAAUGUUUCAAAAACUGGGGUUUUGUAUGCUUACUUUUUAUAUGUUUUGACACUGAUAAUCUAUGGACACUCUGUGAAGAUGGACUUUAUUGAUUGGACAUUUCACCUGUAUUUAAAUGCAAACAGUUUUGGAUACUGGACUAUGACUCACAUACAAUUGAGAAUGUCAUUAACAUCUUAACGAGGGGGAGGGGUUCACAAUCACCACCCCCCUUCUACCCCUAUAUAAGCUGAUUUUUGAAUGUGACACAAGAGGCUUGAUAAAGGACCCGGGGGGGGGGGUCUGAAACAUUGCCCCUUUGUGAUGUAUACUUUGGGCUUCAAAUAAAUCACAGUUUG